CUUCACCAUGCAAUUGCAUCCCGAAAAUUGCAUGCGUGCACCAGAGGCUGCAUGCACGCCUGCUUGCAUAUUUUGCAAAGCGACCGAACAUCUCUGGCUGGGUUCAAUGUUUUUGGAAGGCUGCUUCUUCUGUUGAAUAAGAUCACACACGCUUCAGCAGCUGCUGUGGAGCUGUUCCAGUCGAUCAGGUGAGCCUACAGUUAGGACAGUGCUCUGAAACUUGCACUGAAUGCAGGUAUGUCUCAGCCCUUCCCAUUUGAUUAACAUGCAUCAAGCUGUCCUUUUAGUGAGUUGAGUAAACUGUUAAUGUACUGUUAUAUACUAUAUAUAUCUCAAUAUCAAAAAAAAUAUUCUGCCAGUUUAGCUGGGGGGAGAAUCAUAGCCUUAUCCAGCAUAGUCUUGUUGCCAGUUCCUCAUGGAAGCACAAUUUAUGUGGCCAAAAGGAGCCUUUUUCUAGCAGAGUUCAUGUUCUGGGAAAUGACGCUUCUCGAGAGAAAAUAUUGCAAUGGAAAAAUGCCUGUGGUUGCCUUACAUGGCAUUUUUGCUAGGGUGCUGUGGUGGUAUAACUAUACAGGCAAAGUUGCUCUGGUAUGGACUACCCGUCCCCCCACAAUGCCUCAAGUAACCUUUCUUUAGCAGAUAUCAGCCUUGGGGAAGCAUAUCUUAUUUGAUGUUCUUCAAGUUAGAAACUUGAUCGUUCAGGUUGUGCCUUGCCUUGUCCACCCCAAUGAUCCAUUGCAUAAAUGUCUUUACAGAGUCCCACAGAUGGAUGUACAUCUUCCCUGGUGUAACGUGGUACGAUGGAUUUGGUCCACAAUUAACAGGUCUCUGCGUGUGAGCCGUGUGUGAUCUAGGAGACAGUAUGGGUACACUGCCAAAUAAAUGAGAUGGGCUCAGAUCUGUUCUCAUUUUCCUUUAAGUUUGCAAGUUUGUUUGAAGCAGGAACAAGUCUUUUGCUCUGCUUUGAAUGGCAUCUUUGCUUACUGGGGUCUUGGUCAAUUGAUUAGAGUGUCUAGGCUUUCCAAUAUAGAAAUCAUUAAUGCUCAAUCUGAAGUCUUAUUUUUUUGUUGUUCUAGGAAGAUCAAGGUUUAUCCAGAGUCUGAAAUGGAAGAAGCAGCUUAAGAUGCACCAGACGAGUAACAGAAAAUCCUGUCCCAAAUGGAGGAGUUGCACCCAAGGCCCAUGAAGGGGAGUAGCUAAAAUGCUAUGUAGUCAAGCCAACCAGUGAUGGGUGCAUGGUAAUACAAGGAAGGAUGGGGGUGGUAUUUUGGGGUCAGGAACACCAAAUCUGAGCACAUUACAGUUAAAGUAGCCUUUAUGUGAAGCAUUAAAAAAAAUUAAAUAAAAAGCCCCAUAUUCAAACGUUUGCAGGUAAUGGAUUUGUAAAUUAUUUUAUAAAUUUUCUGCUUUUCUCUGUUGUAGAAGAAUUUAAAUAAAUAGUUCAUGUCAUGAAGAUUUGGGGGCCAAGUGCAUAUUCUCGACUUGCAGUGAAAACUGUGGUGGAACUUCUGUGUACUCCAGCAAAAUAGUGAUACCUUGAGGUCUAAGACUUCUGUGGAAGUAGUUCAUAAAGAACAUAUAUCUGUAAUUAUGAGCAGUGCUACUAGUUGUCACUCGAAUCUGGUUUUCUCCAAUGCAUUGGAAAAUAUAUAUUAUAGCAAACUUCUGUACCACAACCUCAGACUUUCUCAAAUGUGCCUCCAGUGAUUUAGAUCAUAUUAUACAGUAGGCACUUGGCAAAAGUUUUUUAUGCCAUUUUUAGUUAUAAAGGCAAAAAUAAAAAGGAUACAGUAACCCUCAAUUAGGUGUAUACUUUUAUAACUUCAUAAUGUUCAGAGUGUUUGGGGGGGAAAAAUGGCUGAAAAUAUGCCAUUAUAUUGCCAGAUUUCAGUGUAGAGCAUGUCUUUAUUAACCAAGCAAUACCUCCUUGAAAUGAGGGGUUUAUUAUGGAAAGGCUGACAGACCCUUAAUUACCACAUCAUGAACGGCAGUUACAAUAGCCCAUAAGCUAAAUAGUGGUAUGCACAGUCCUUAAGAUAAAUAGUGGCAUGCACAGUCCUUUAGCCUUGCUUGGCAGAGUUGGGCAGCCUUAGCUGGUUUGAAGGUCUAUGAUGUGUUGGUAUUUUUCUCCUCGUCUGUUCCAGUCUGCUUUUAAACUUCUGUUAAAUGUUAGUGAUCACAUUUUGGGGCUGGGGCUGUAGUUUUUGGUUUGCCCAUUUUCGCUUUUGGAGUCCCUUUUGGAGUCUCAUUUGUCUAUCAUGCCAGAUUGAGAGGGCUAAGGUGGGCAUGUCUACGUGGCAUUGGACAGAGCUAGAGCACAGCACUGAAAAUACCUUCCUGCCCAUUCACCCCUGCUCCAUACCUGUCAGUAAAGUUUAUGGCUUAUGCCCAGGGCCUCAGACUUGGAGGUCUAAGGUUGAGCCAAGUUCCACUCUAAUGGCAGCAAUACGAUCUCUUUUUUGGAACGCAGCAUGCAAUGCAGCGCAAGCAAAUGGGCAAUUUUCGGAGCAGCACUGUCUGACCUAGUGCAGACGUACCCUUAUUGAUCUAAUAUAUCUUUUCUACGUAAAGUGGAGUUGUCUCUUCAUUACAGGAUUAUGAAUGCAUUCUGCUUGUGCACAAGAGGUGGUGCAUUGCAUAUGUUGAUGGAAAGAUGCCAACAGAAUAUAGAAACAAUCUUAUUCUGUUGAAAUGUAUAUGUUUCAUGCCUUGAUAGUUUUUCAAGGUGGUCCAAUUAAGGUAAAUGCUCCUGGCAUCUUUUCCAUUAAUACUUGUCUUCACCACCAUCCAUCACCCUAAUUCUUCUUCAGCUGGUUAUCUAAGAGCUUCUGCCCAUCUGGACCCCGAAGCAUGAAGAUAGCAAGCAACUUCCCAACAUCUCCAAGGGAAAUGUAGAGCUCUUGCUAUCCAGUCCUCUGCUGAAACUUCAGGUAAGCAUGCAUCAUUGUUGCCUACGCUGGUUGUGGGAAAUGUAGAGCUCUUUCCAUCCAGUCCUGUACCAAAACUGCAGGUAAGCAUAUGUCAUUGGCACAACCAAUGUAGGGAACAUGGAGGUAUUUUUGUUUAAAUGUAGCAUAUAGUUAAGUCUUGUGAUCAAGAUUAUUGUUUGUAAAGCACAUGAAAAAAAAGUCACGUUAAUGCUGGAGAUGAACGAUGGAAACUGAAAAUUAAAAUGGGUUGUAGGGGAGCAUGGAAGGAAAGAAGGCCCAAGAAAAUGAGAGAAACGUUGAGUUUGUGGUUAACACAUAGGACUGAGUCAGGAGAUCUGCUUUCAACUUCUGGUUUUGCUAUAGAUUUUGUGGGUAAAUACUGCAGAGAAACACCAUGAAUGUUUCUAUUCUAGCCCCGUGUGUUUUGACAGUUUUGUUUUUUGCCUUCAGAUUGCUUUCCGCAGUUACUCUAAUAAACGUGCUUGCUGGAAGGAGUGUUUUGCUGAAAUUGCAAAAUUUUCAGCAAUAUUGCCUUAAAACAGAUCAUCAGAUUUUAUAAACUGGAGUGUGUAUUUUGGCAACUUGAUUUGUUUUGGUUCUUUAGAUCAACCUGAUCACGCAAUUGCAGACCAUAUGACCUGUUUGUCCAGUCAAAGACACAGCAGGAAUCUUCGGUCUUGAAGAUUUGCUAACAAUUGCUUGUGAAAUAAUAUGCAGGCCAAGGAUGAUUGAUUGUUUCCAGAAAUCUGAGUUCUGUAUAAAAAUGGAAACAAGCACCGUUUUGUUGAAUUAUUCCCCUUUUUUCAUGUGUUUUUUUGCAUAAGCCACUUCACCUGUGUUAGUUUCGGUAUCUAAAUGGGGAGGAUAGUAUUUCCCUAGUUUACCCCUUGAAGUGAUGGUCAGACUUUAUUUUUUUUUUAACUAAUCAUUAUAAAAUGUUUUGAUGUUCUUGGACAUUUUUAGCAUUUAAUGCCCAAAGUUGUAAGUGUGGCUUUUUUAUUAUGAUGCAGAGAAGGGAAGCAGGCUUGGUAUCUGGAACACGGGUAUGAGUGAGAGAUGCGUGAUCAGGUAUAAAGGGAAUGUCUUGUAGUGUAAAGAGCAGCCUUAACUGCUAGCACUGUAAAAAGACUAUUUAAAGCCAGUGUGGAUUUUGGAUGACAGCUAUAUGCAGGGAGAACAAGGGUCAUGAUGCCUAGGAUGUGGAUUCUUCCAAAAACAAUAGACAUUGGAAAUGAAGAAGUCAAGCUGAGUGAAGGUACUCUGUUUGCUAACUUCCAUGGAGCAGGAAGAUGGGACAAGGGCCAACAGUACCUUUAAAGAAGUGGCCAAGGGUUAUUUCUGUUUUUUUUUAAUUUCCAUUUUGCAUUGUUACUGACACAUAGCACUUCCCGCCAUCAUCACACUUUUUCCUAGAAAUUAAAACUACGUAAGAAGGGGAGAGGUACAAACAUAACAUAUUCUAGCAUAUAAAACCACUGUGUUUGAGUUUCAAGUUGGACCUUAAAGACUGCAAACAAAAGAGGGGUGUUUUUUUUUCCUUACAAGUGAUUCUUUUACAAACACAGCAGUUAUCAAAGUGUGAAAGAUUCCUCAGUAAGGGGCACACAUAGCAAGGCCAUUUAACUGCUCCCUACAGUCUCUGCUUUUUAUUUCAUUCCUUUUAAAGUCUCUUACUGCUGUGAAGGAAUCAUGUCAACAUUACCCGAUCCAGUGACCUCUGCCAAAGUCUGCAGAGAGCCUGAAACAAUAGCUUUGAGGUGUGCACUGCUCCUUCACUUUGUGCUAUUAACGAUGCUAUGUUGAACUGUCAGCAUCAUUAGCAGUUUCCACGCCGAUUGAAAGGAAACGGUAAAAGCGUCAUUCUGAUAGGCUAUGCCAAUGGUGGCCAACAAUUUUUUGGCAAGCUUGUCAUAAAUUAAGUCCAAAGUAGGAGAUGGGAGUGGCACUGUUGCCAGUAUGCUUGCUGUACAGUAGAGGUGACAGAUCUUGACCAAACCUGAACUUUGGGAGCUUAUCAGAGGAAAAAGCCACCUGUUAUUUUACUAAGUGGUGCAGAAAGGGUGUGGCAACCCUGGGUUUGGCAUCAUCUACUCCCACCAUUUCUGUGAAGCUAAUCCAUCAAGCCAGGACCCCAACCCUAUCCCCUCCUUGAGUGUUGCCCCAAAUCCUGUCAUUGGUACCCCUUUAACUUAGUGCCUUAGGCUCCUGUGCCAGCUGCACCAAUUAGCUAUGCCACUUGUGGCCUACGUGCUGAGGAUUGGCCACUGUUGGGCUAUGCCGUCCACCUAAUAAUUGCUUCCUAGGGACAGGUCUUUCUAUUCCUUCUUUUUUUUUUUAACAUUUUUGUCAUGAGGAGGUAGCUAAAUUCAGCUUUGUUUUCCUUAAGGUGGGCACUCUACUUACUACUUUCACAGGCCACUUCCAGACUAGAAAUAUCAGUAUAAGCAUAGCGACAUGUUAGACCUGUAAAGAACUCCUCGUGGGAGUUGCUCUUCUCCCAGUAGAGUGAAUUUGAGCCCCCACACUGAGCAAAAUGAAUUCUCCUGGUAAAAAUACAGGUCGUCUGGAUCUACAUAAAAGAUUUCUGCUGCUACGGCUGUGAUGGCCUGGGUUGUACUGAGUCACAGCCCUCUCAUCACCCAUCUAGCGAAAGAGCAGUAUGACAUGAGCAGCCACUUCUCUCUCUCGCUCCCCUUCCCUUAAGACUAUUGAAUAGGUAAGAUACUUGAGGCAUGGAUUUUUGUGGAUGAAAUCCUUUUAUUGAACCACCUGCAUAGCUGGGAUAGAUUCAGACAAGAUUUUGAAUACAAAGCAUUCUUCUGCAGGUCACUGGUGAUGCUUAGCUAAGGUGCUCUUGACGUGUUUUAUAGAUGUACCGCACUUUUACCUCCUUACCUUCUUUUUGUCUGCCUCUAUUGUACAACUAGAGCAUUUGCGAAAUAAAUAAUGCCCCUGACCCAGCUCUGCUGAUGGAAGUGUGUAGUAAACACACACAAAAAUAGCAGUGCUUGUGCAGUGGGGGGCAAAGGUUGGACAAAGAGGUGUUCGCUGCGGUAGAAGACGAGGAAACUGUUGAAUAUUUGUUAAAAACAAAUGGACCAUCUGGAGGAAAGGAUGCCACAAGAGCGUCUGCUCUGGCUUUCCAUCAAGCUCUGUCCUCAGCAAUAAGUGGGUGAGCAAGCGACAGAGCAGGAUGCUUGCCUUACAAUAGAGGAGGUGACAGACAAUGAACAAUCCCGAGCAUUGGUGGCUUAUAGGAGGGGGAAAAAAACCCCAUCUGCUCUUUUGCUGUUCUGAGCAGGGCAGAAAGGAUAUCGCACGUUCCUUUGUUCUCCACUGAAGGUAAUGGUGGACUACAGGCCCUCUUGCACUUCGCAAGCCAAAAAAAGUGAAGUUCAUAAGAGCUUAGCAGCCAGAUCUUAAAAUUCAUUUUAGUUUCCACUCUCUGUCUGUCUUGCUCCUAUGCAUUUCCUCUAGCAGCCAUUAGAAUUUAAUACACAUUUCCCCUUAGUGUCUUCUGGUAGUUUGAUCGUAUGAGAAAAUGUUUAGAUAGCUUCAAUUUUCUUUGCUUUUUCCCCCUGCCCUAACAAACUACACUAACCCUGUGAAUCUGGGACUGGAGAGCUGCUAAAAAAUCUCUUUGUGGCUUUUAAGCAGAUGGCCAAGGAAUUCUUACAGAGGAUAAAAUGACCUAUAAAAUCUGAAAGUAGAUGCAGCUUGUAAAAGUGACAGAAGCCCAGUAAAGGAAGCCCAUUCACAACUUGAGUAACCUAGGUAAUGGUACAAUUUAGGGCUGGAAAAAAUUGGCUGAUAAGAAUAAAGAGCUGAGUGCUUGGUAAGGAGAGGGGUUAAAGGAGACAAUCAUCUCAUCUCAAACAAGUGGACUAAGGGCUGUGCCGCUAGCAUGAAUACAUCCAUUUUAUCUUAAUUUGCCAAGAGACACAGAGCACAAGGUCACCUCGGGAUGUAAGAGGCCCAAAGGAUUUAUUGGAAAGUUUGGAAAAUGCUGCUCAGGCAAAUAAACCAAAGGAGUUCAUGAAAUUAGAAAUCUUGAAUUUAUUCUUAAGUGGUGUGUUUUAGAGGGUAAGUUAUCCUUUUUGUAAGUGAUGGAAAGAGCCAGUGUGAUGGAUACUUCAGUCUUUUUAACUGAAAAUCUAGUCUGCUUAAAAUGCAGCAACAACAAAAAACGUGUAGGUAUGGGAGGUGCACCCAAGUCACCGUUCCUAUGAAUGCGAGGCUUUCAUCCCAAUCUCACAUCUUUCUUGCGUGCUGUGCAGGCGUCACGCUCGCGGCACAGCACAGUGCUGUCGUGUGGGAGAUUCCAAAGUUCAAAGCUAGCACGUGCUCACUUUUUUUUCCUUCUCCAACUGUUUACAUGGAUUUCUCUGUGUUUAUGGUGCAGCUGUUAUAAUACCUCUCUGUCUCUCUCAUUUUCAGUUUACAUAUCUCUUGGUAUUGCUUCUAUAGAACUAUGAGUUCUCUGCUUUUAUUUGAUUAAGUAGUUUGGGAUUUAAGUCUUUCAUUCUUGCUCAACUUGUCCCUCGGUCUUUUUCCAGCCGUGAGCAGCGCACAUUUGGCUGGACUUGUGCUCUCUGUCCUUGGCUCUUGCAGCCACAGCCUUUUCAGGGGCUUGAUCUGGGUUUUCGUGACCUGCAAAGAUCUGUUGGCCUCUUCCAGAUUCUUUUGGAGUGACGGAUAAUUUCAGAGCUCUUAGAAAGGUAUAGGCUUGAGGGUAUUUGGCAGAGGUGAGCUGCAGCCCUAAUAUGUUGCUUUCCAUUUAGCAAGCAGGGUGUUUCACUGAUUAUUUUCAGUCUGGCACAGCUGACAGGAGUUGUGUCAAAACUGGACUAAACAAAUGUUCUUAAACUAGCAGUUACCUUUUGUGGCGUAUAGGGCUUUAAAUUCGUCACUGAAACUAGGGUCAUCUCGGCAGACCUUGUUAGCCUAAAUGCCUUUGUGGAUUAAGAUCUGCAGUACUUUCUGACAUCACGUGAGUAUCUGAUGCUGUGGGGUUAACAUCAUCCUUGGAAAGGAAAUAAAGACUGAUUUGGGCUGAAAGCUGAGCCUUGAAAUUAAUCCUGUCUUUAAUUUAAACUCCUCCAAAUGUAAGGAUGCUCAGUGACACAAAUAAUAAUUACUCUUUGGGUACAAACAUUGCCACCUUCCCCCUGGCAUUAUGAAACCCGAGCUGAUUGUUGGGAUUCUUGCAAAACAGACCCAGGUGAGAGUUUAUAAAUUAUUCCCUUCAGGGUCCUUUUAAGAUAAGAGCGCGUUUUGUUUUCAUUAAGACAACAUCAAUUGAGCAGCAUAUCAUUUAAGUGUGUUUGUCUCCUGCUACAGAGAUGAAGGCAAAUCAGAGAGAUGUUUCUCUCUAAUGCAGGAAAGACAGCAAUCCUGUGACACCGUUCUGUAGCAAUAAUUUGCUUGCUAUUAAUGACAAGAUGGAUUUGCAGCCUCUUUACUGAUGGAUGUUGGUACCAUAGUGUCACCAGCCUCUGCUAUCAUUCCUGAGAAGCAGCUUUCUGAUUGGCUUAUGCUUAUUUCCAGCUGUCAAGCUGGUUUAGCAGUGUGUUUGAUUUGUUCUUGGUCAUGGGUGGGGUUGGGGGCUUUUUUUCCCCAACUGUAUCAUUGCCCUUACACUAUUUUUACCCCUCACCUUCCAGUUGUGCCUCUCCGGUCUCUCUUUCACCAAUGGGAGCCUCUCUUUCCAGAUUGCCCCUAUGCAUGAAAUAAACUCCAAGGACUAAUUUUUGGAAAGCAUUCCCAUUCUAACCCCUUUCUCUCUCUCAGUGAUCCCUGCAAGAUGAGAUCUAGUUAGAAAUAAAUUAAGAGAAAUAUUUUAAAUGUAUUGCUUCUGCUGGAUUUCCCAGGAUACGUGGUCUAGAGUGUCUGUCUUCUAGACGCUCUGAACAGUUACAGUGAAGCCAUAAGCAAUAUACUUUUGGCAUUGUCCUAAACCAUAAUUGUUGCGAGUGACAAGUGUUUGCAGGGUUCAAGGUUGCAGUGAGCCCUGCAUAGAGAGACUUCUAGUCUCUGCUCAUUGCAAAGCCAGUCUGAGCUCUUCAGGGGAGGGAUGGUCUUUAUCACUGGGUUUCUAUGACGCCAAACACAUCUUGAGUGUUAAGUGGUUUAUUAAAUCUUUAUUAUGUUUAUGUUGCUGCCAGAGUAAUACGAUCUGGAAGCAAUUACUGGAGUCUUUUUUUGUUUUGUUUUUUUCUUUUUCAUUCUUUCUUUAUGAAUGUAAUCUAAAAGUUUGCCAAGCGCCGGGAUAAUACUGCAUACUCUUGUGUUAUAUAGUGCAAAUGUGAAUGAAUGACUUCAGUGGGACUUGCUUGACUUUAAACACAUGUUCCUCUUGAAGUGCCUAGCUGAAGAGAUGUAGUUAAGUAUGUGCAUGUAGUAUUUUGCUAGUUUAGGGCCUUCCCCUCAGUUUUCUCACUUGUAAAAUGGAUCUGUCCCUUCUGGGUCAAGUUUGGGGUCUAGCAGUCCUGACUCUUCCACUGCUUCCAUAUUGUAGAAUGACUUAACCCUGGAUAAAGUAAGUAUAUAGCUACCACUGCUGCAGAUGGGAUUCUUCAUUCGGUAGUAAUUUGCCUAGGUCAAAUCCACCUUAACAAAAUGCAACACAUUUGUUAGAGGACCAGGCCGAAAAUCUGGGAUGCUCUGGGAUUCUCAUAUAAGUAGUGUUAAAUAAAAGCUAAUGUCAUGCCUAUUUCCCCUUAGUGUCUUUUGGUAGUUUAGAAGUUACUUUUAUUUGUUUGACAGUAGGAGCUGGCUUUUUUUGUUUGUUUGUUUAAAACAGAAGUGUUUUUUAAUGUGUGUCAAUACUGAAGUCAGACGUUCCUAAAAGGAAAAAAAGGGAAUUCUUAGUCUUUACAGCAGGAUAUGUUGGGAGAGGAAGAAGACUCCAGCUACUCUUAUCUGGAACACACAGCUUCUGCUUGUCGUAGUUGAACUUUAGAAGAAACCAUGUGCACAUAAAAGAUUACAGGACAGCUCAGCCCUUUCUCUUCUGUAAAUUUGCCAAGUCUCAUUGAGGACUCUUCUGCUUACUGUUUUAACUUGUGGGCGGGGGACGCAAAAAAAUCCUGCCCCUUGAUAGUCUUGUGUGAAAAUGGAGAUGGAUGCGAAUUUUGCAUGAGAGAGAGAAUCCUGCCCUCAGGACCACAGAGAAGUUCAGACUCAAUAGGAUCUGUGCUACGUGGCAAAAGGAGCAGGUUUCCUAUUGAAGAGGGCAUAAGUUGCAUGAAAAGGGUUACCUUUCUGCAACUACUUCUGCUUCCAUGUCAAGAUCCACCUUGCUUUAUAUUCAGGUUUGUAAAUCAAGCCUCUGACAUCUAGUUGAGCAAAUAAUUUAGUACUGGCUGUUUUGCCAGCCCUGUUGUUCAUAAUGAUGUACUGGACCCCAUAGUGACUUGCACCUGAACAAAACCCAACAACAACAAAAAAGCCAGCAUAUUACUGUGAUUUUAUUCACCCUGGUAUGUGUUCUGUGGAAAUGCCAGGGGCAUGGUAAAUACUGUCCCUAAAUACAACUAGGGCACAAUGGGAUGCUUGGUUUUUAAUACUUUUGUUUGCCAUGCCACAGUUCCUAAUAAUGAUCCUCCAUUGAAAUAAAAGCAAAUGGACUUGA